AUACGUAGGGUGCAAGCGUUAAUCGGAAUUACUGGGCGUAAAGCGUGCGCAGGCGGUUUUGUAAGACAGCGGGGAAAUCCCCGGGCUCAACCUGGGAACUGCCAUUGUGAAUGCAAGGCUGGAGUGCGGCAGAGGGGGAUGGAAUUCCGCGUGUAGCCGUGAAAUGCGUAGAUAUGCGGAGGAACACCAAUGGCGAAGGCAAUCCCCGGGGCCUGCAGUGACGGUCUUGCACGAAACCGGUGGGAGCACACGGGAUUAGGUACCCUCGUAGUCCACGCCCUAGACGAGGUCAACUGGUUAUUUGGUCUUCAGUGACUCAGUGACGAAGCUAACGUGUGAGGUUGACCGGCUGGGGAGUACGGCCGCACGGUUGAAGCUGAAAGGAAGUGUCGGGG
rnacentral:rRNA from 1 species